GGAAUAUUGGACAAUGGGCGAAAGCCUGAUCCAGCCAUGCCGCGUGUGUGAAGAAGGUCUUCGGAUUGUAAAGCACUUUAAGUUGGGAGGAAGGGCAGUAAGCUAAUACCUUGCUGUUUUGACGUUACCGCCAGAAUAAGCACCGGCUCACUUCGUCCCAGCAGCCGCGGUAAUACGAAGGGUGCAAGCGUUAAUCGGAAUUACUGGGCGUAAAGCGCGCGUAGGUGGUUUGUUAAGUUGGAAGUGAAAGCCCCGGGCUCAACCUGGGAACUGCUUUCAAAACUGGCAAGCUAGAGUAUGGCAGAGGGUUGUGGAAUUUCCUGUGUAGCGGUGAAAUGCGUAGAUAUAGGAAGGAACACCAGUGGCGAAGGCGACCACCUGGGCUAAUACUGACACUGAGGUGCGAAAGCGUGGGGAGCAAACAGG
rnacentral:rRNA from 1 species